rnacentral:rRNA from 1 species
CCUACGGGAGGCAGCAGUGAGGAAUAUUGGCCAAUGGACGAGAGUCUGAACCAGCCAAGUAGCGUGAAGGAUGACUGCCCUAUGGGUUGUAAACUUCUUUUAUAUGGGAAUAAAAUGUUCCACGUGUGGGAUUUUGUAUGUACCAUAUGAAUAAGGAUCGGCUAACUCCGUGCCAGCAGCCGCGGUAAUACGGAGGAUCCGAGCGUUAUCCGGAUUUAUUGGGUUUAAAGGGAGCGUAGGUGGAUUGUUAAGUCAGUUGUGAAAGUUUGCGGCUCAACCGUAAAAUUGCAGUUGAAACUGGCAGUCUUGAGUACAGUAGAGGUGGGCGGAAUUCGUGGUGUAGCGGUGAAAUGCUUAGAUAUCACGAAGAACUCCGAUUGCGAAGGCAGUUCACUGGACUGCAACUGACACUGAGGCUCGAAAGUGUGGGUAUCAAACAGGAUUAGAUACCCGUGUAGUC